GUUUGAUGUCCCUUAAAGACCAUACAUUUGUAGUCCAAAGAUGUCAGGGGAGGCAGCAAUUAUCGUCUUUUUGGGUGUAAAAUGCUGUUUGGUGGUGAUGGUGGGUGUUAGAAACAUCCACCAUCACCACCGAAAACAGAGGCAAACCGAGGAGCUCAACAAGCUCAGAGGAGACGGAGGAGAACCUACACCUCAAGUUCUGGAUUGACGGACCUCCUCUGGUGAUUCCUCACAGCUGAAACUCUUAAUUACCUGACUGGGUAAUUUAGUAAGCAGAUCUUCUCGACACCAAUGAUUCUCCUGCCGCUUCUCUUGAGUACUCACCUAUGUCACCACAGAGAUCUCUGGUCCUCCUUGAACACAUUAAGAAUCUUACCUGUAAGCUCACCUUCAUACGAGACACAGCUUAGUUACCUGACCAUCAACUGAUGGUCCCAGUCAGCUGGGCCCGCUGCCUGAAAAAACAACUCACCUGCAAAACCAACCUGUCUGCUCUGCUACUGCUAGACCCAAACCUAUCUGGACCUUCAUCCCCACUGAUGCCCCGGGAUACUCCACAGACUUCCCUGCAUUCAUCCUACUUACAAAACUAUAUCCCUCAAACCCAAUUUCAGCAUUAAGACCCACUUGGGCUGCUCUAACGUCUUCCUGUCCAUUUCAGGUUCUAUUCACAAGCUUAAUGCUGGAAAACCCGGAUUUAAAUACCUUAUUUCCGAAUAGAAGACUACAAUAGAAUAAAAUAUCACUGAUUGGCAUUGUCAGUACAAUGAAAUUGAAAAAAAAAACAACAUUUAGUUAAUGCACAGGAAAACAAACAUAUU